rnacentral:rRNA from 1 species
AGCCCGCUCAGAACUCAAAGGAAUUCGACGGGGCCGCACAAGCGGUGGAGUAUGUGGUUUAAUUCGAUGCAACGCGAAGAACCUUACCUGGUCUUGACAUCCCGGAGACCCUUAGGAAACUAGGGGGUGCUUCCAUCUGGAAGAAUCUGGAGACAGGUGCUGCAUGGCUGUCGUCAGCUCGUGUCGUGAGAUGUUGGGUUAAGUCCCGCAACGAGCGCAACCCUUGCCUUUAGUUGCCAGCAGUUCGGCUGGGCACUCUAAAGGGACUGCCGGUGUUAAACCGGAGGAAGGUGGGGAUGACGUCAAGUCCUCAUGGCCUUUAUGACCAGGGCUACACACGUACUACAAUGGCCGAUACAAAGGGCAGCGACACUGCGAGGUGAAGCCAAUCCCGUAAAAUCGGUCUCAGUCCGGAUUGGAGUCUGCAACUCGACUCCAUGAAGUUGGAAUCGCUAGUAAUCGUGGAUCAGCAUGCCACGGUGAAUACGUUCCCGGGCCUU